rnacentral:tRNA from 7 species
CGGGAUAUAGCGCAGGUUGGUAGCGCGUCCGCUUUGGGAGCGGAAGGUCGUGGGUUCAAAUCCCGCUAUCCCGACCA